CUCAGGCAACAGUCACCAGGCAACAGCCACUGAAGCAACAGCCACUCAGGCAACAGUCACUCAGGCAACAGUCACACUGGUAAUAGUCACUCAGGCAACAGCCACCAGGUAACAGCCACUCAGGCAACAGUCACAAUGGCAAUAGCCACUUAGGCAACAGCCACUGAAGCAACAGGCACUCAGGCAACAGCCACCAGGCAACAGCCACUCAGGCAACAGUCACACUGGCAAUAGCCACUUAGGCAACAUCCACUCAGGCAACAGUCACUCAGGCAACAGCCACUCAGGCAACAGUCACUCUGGCAACAGCCACUGAAGCAACAGGCACUCAGGCAACAGCCACCAGGCAACAGCCACUCAGGCAACAGUCACACUGGCAAUAGCCACUUAGGCAACAUCCACUCAGGCAACAUCCACUCAGGCAACAGCCACUCAGGCAACAGUCACUCUGGCAACAGCCACUGAAGCAACAGGCACUCAGGCAACAGCUACUCUAAGCAACAGGCACUCAGGCAACAGCCACCAGGCAACAGUCACUCAGGCAACAGUCACACUGGCAAUAGCCACUCAGGCAACAGCCACUCUAAGCAACAGUCACUCAGGCAACAGCCACUCAGGCAACAGUGACUCGGGUAACAGACACUCGGGCAACAGUCACUCUAGGCACAGUCACGGUCUCCAGGAGCCAUGUGUAUUGACAUCAGAGGGUCUCUCAUUUUUACCCCUACAUCCCACCAUGACUUGGAUGGCUUGGUUUUAUUUCCAAGUCAGUAGGUUCUAAGAGCUUAACCGAGUGGCUUUCAACCUUGGCUGGGUGGCAGAACUGUGUAGGGAGCCUUUUAAAAACCCUUGCCACAGACUGGAGAAACUGCGGUGGCUGUGAGCCACUUUCUAGGUGACUCUGAGACACACUGCUCUGUCAGAAGACACCCCACGACCACAGCCACAGUUCGGUCCAGCACCUUGGAUUUGAGCCUUUUGAAAAAUCACCUGGGGGAGUAAACCCGUGGAGAAGAACCCCACUUAAGAUCUCUGCUCUCAAGGUGAAGGGUCUCCCACUGAGCCCAGAGCUUGACAGUUAGCCAUAGAGAUCCUAAUGUCUCCUGCAUCAUCGGUGCCUAUGACGUCAUCCAGUUUUUACGUGGACAAUGAGAACCAGCAUUCAGGCUUUUAUGGUGGGGACAUCCUUCGACCUGUCAAUGAAACGAAGACAAUUUGGUUUUUCCUGUCUUUAGCCGACUCUCAAUACCGCUUCUGGACCUCGUCCUUCAGUGUGUCUCUUGUCAUUAGCCGAUGACUUCAGAACCCGUGCUGUAUUUGAGUGGUGUGGGAGCUAUGGACAGACUUUUAAUCUUUAUCUCCGCCUGUGAGCAGUACUCACCUGCCUGUGAGUGACAUUAACACCUGCUUCAUCCAUAAGCAAUCAGAUUUAGACCUUUGAGGAGAGCAAGGUACUCCUUUGCAUUGUGAUGGGAAACUCUCACGGCAGCCCUAUGAGCCAGCAGUGACUCCCAGCCUCAGACUUUCAUCCCAGCGGAGCGCGCUACUUCUGGAUGGAAUGAGGGCCAACGUUCCCUUCUGAAUUAAUACCCCAAGAUCCACCAUCUUCCUGAACGAAGCUAGAAGCAGCUGGGUCAGAAUCUGAGAGCCUCGUCCACCUGCAGAUGUGUGGGUUCUUGGUCCUGGUGGUUUACAUCGAGGUCCUUCCUGGAGUUAUUUUUGUUUGCUUGUUUUGUUUUUGUUUCUCAUUUGCAUUCCUCAUGACUCGCCAACUCACCCCACCCGUAGGGAACGGAAAUUUUCGUUAAAUAAAACAUAAGCCUCAACCUCAGAAGGUUUAAAUGUAUCUGCUUUGGUAUGGCUGGACUCUGAUUAACCCCGACGCUAUAUUUACUCUGCCAAAGUCAGAAUUCUCCAGGGACUUAGCUGUACAUGGUUCUCAGUUCAUCUAUGGCCCUGCCCUCUACUGAUGUCACCGUAUGGUCCUCCUGCUCAUUGUACCCUCUGGUUUCCUGGGCGGUACAGUUUCCUAAUGGUUUCCAGAUCCGUGGCUCCGUGGGCUCCGUGGGCUCCAGCCACGGCAGUAGUCUUUUCUAACAUCGGGUGGGUUUGCCAAUGGGGGAUGGGGAGAAUUCGGAGAAUGCGACUUCAUUCUGGAUGGCCGGUUGGCUCAGUGGGUAAAGGCACCUGCUAUCAACCCUGACGACCGAAGUUCCAUCCUCGGGCCUGCAAUGAUUGAAGGCACAGAACCAACUACCACAAGGUGUCCUCUGACCUUCAAACCCUCCAAGCCUCAAGCAAAUAAAUAAAAU